rnacentral:tRNA from 1 species
GAGAUGUUAGUAAAAUAUUACAAAGCUUUGUCAUUGCUUAGUCACUAGUUCAAACCUCGUACAUCUUA